CAGCAGUCGCCACGGUAAUACGGAGGGUGCAAGCGUUAUCCGGAUUUAUUGGGUUUAAAGGGUCCGUAGGCGGAUCUGUAAGUCAGUGGUGAAAUCUCACAGCUUAACUGUGAAACUGCCAUUGAUACUGCAGGUCUUGAGUAAAUUUGAAGUGGCUGGAAUAAGUAGUGUAGCGGUGAAAUGCAUAGAUAUUACUUAGAACACCAAUUGCGAAGGCAGGUCACUAAGAUUUAACUGACGCUGAUGGACGAAAGCGUGGGGAGCGAACAGGAUUAGAUACCCGAGUAGUCCCUGUCUCUUAUAC
rnacentral:rRNA from 1 species